rnacentral:rRNA from 1 species
GCCUGCCCAGUGAACAAUUAAACGGCCGCGGUACCCUAACCGUGCAAAGGUAGCAUAAUCAUUUGUCUAUUAAUUGUAGACCAGCAUGAAAGGCAAAAUGAGGGUCCGUCUGUCUCUUACAAUGAAUCAAUUAAACUGAUCUCCUAGUAAAAAAGCUAGAAUCCACACACAAGACCAAAAGACCCUGUGAAGCUUGAACUAAACUAUUAAACCCUAUAAUACCUACUUUCGGUUGGGGCGACCUUGGAAAAAAAAGAAACUUCCAAACAUAUGACUACACUCACAAACAGGCCUACAAGCCUUAAUAGACCCAGCACAGCUGAUAAUUGAACCAAGUUACUCCAGGGAUAACAGCGCUAUCUUCUUCAAGAGUCCAUAUCAAAAAGAAGGUUUACGACCUCGAUGUUGGAUCAGGACAUCCUAAUGGUGCAGCCGCUAUUAAGGGUUCGUUUGUUCAACGAUUAACAGUCCUACGUGAUCUGAGUUCGGACCGGACAAAUCGUUGAACAAACGAACCUUAAUAGCGGCUGCACCAUUAGGAUGUCCUGAUCCAACAUCGAGGUCGUAAACCUUUCUUUUUGAUAUGGAUCUUGAAGAAGAUAGCGCUGUUAUCCCUGGAGUAACUUGGUUCAUUUUAUCAWCUGUGCUGGGUCUUAU